GAUGAACGCUGGUGGCGUGCCUAAUACAUGCCAGUCGAGCGAACGGACGAGAAGCUUGCUUCUCUGAUGUUAGCGGCGGACGGGUGAGUAACACGUGGAUAACCUACCUAUAAGACUGGGAUAACUUCGGGAAACCGGAGCUAAUACCGGAUAAUAUUUUGAACCGCAUGGUUCAAAAGUGAAAGACGGUCUUGCUGUCACUUAUAGAUGGAUCCGCGCUGCAUUAGCUAGUUGGUAAGGUAACGGCUUACCAAGGCAACGAUGCAUAGCCGACCUGAGAGGGUGAUCGGCCACACUGGAACUGAGACACGGUCCAGACUCCUACGGGAGGCAGCAGUAGGGAAUCUUCCGCAAUGGGCGAAAGCCUGACGGAGCAACGCCGCGUGAGUGAUGAAGGUCUUCGGAUCGUAAAACUCUGUUAUUAGGGAAGAACAUAUGUGUAAGUAACUGUGCACAUCUUGACGGUACCUAAUCAGAAAGCCACGGCUAACUACGUG
rnacentral:rRNA from 1 species